AAUUUUUUUAGUUGAUUCAUACAUUUUGUACUACUUACGUACUUAAAUAACUAUUUACAUACUUAGAUAAUAUUUUAAAAGAUAUGGCAGUAACAGACCUUUGGAAACUUGUUGAACCGUGUGGUAGUCCUGUGCCGGUAGAAACUUUAAAGGGCAAAAUACUAGCCGGUGGUGAAUGCAUUGGUUUCAGAAAUUCUUUUAAAAAUAUUGCAGCAUCUUUUCAGAUAUUUCCAUAUGACUACAUCAGGCUGUCAAAGGAUUUCAAGACAUCAAAGGCUCUUUGCUACCGCCUGUUCAUUUAGCCUUUUUCACCGUUUAUGCAAAUUACCUUAUUAUCACGUACGACCUUGUUUUUGUUUUCGACAGCUUAAAUGGGAUAUCAUUGCCCAAUGGCUGUAACAACGCAGCAAAUUAAACAAUGAAGCUGAUAGUAUACAGGUUCUAUUGCUUCAAUCCCUUUCAAUAGCAAUACUACAAGCCCUAGCGUAGUAUUAGCGCUCAACUUUUUUUAAAGUCAUCUAUCAAAAGGCAAGGUGUUGCGAUCAAUGAUGGCUUAGUGAAAGAUGAUAUUUUCAAAUUACCGGAGCUCCCAAGUGAAUACAAAGAUACAAUAAAUACGAUCACAUUAUUUGAAACAUCUACGUCCACAGAAAUUCAAACCCUGGCGUGAAUAUAAUGCAAAUUCACAAGAAAUUUAUUGAACAGUUUAAAAGCUUGCCGCCAGAAGUACGCCACGAAAUAUUGGUAGAUAUAAAAUAAACAAGAAAACAGACGUUGUGGGGUCGCCUUUAUGAGUUGCCCUCAUGCAGCGAUGAUUUUAGUUGUUUUAGAAUGAAACGAUUGAUUAAGCAGAGCAGUCCAAGAACGUAUCGAGGAAACCCAAGAGGAAAUGGAGGAAAAUGCAUUGAAGUUCACGGAUUUACACGAUCUCUUUACGGAAGAUGCGGGAAAAUACCCAUUCGGUCCCCCGCCUCUUUUAAAAAAAGGGGUAUAAGGGGGGGUAGAGGGGGUAUUCUACUUUCUAAAAGUGAAAACCUCACCCCCAGGCGGCUUGUAGUUUUUAAGUUAUAUUAUUUGAGUUUAAAAAUUGUAAAAUUGACCAAGAAUCCUCCUAUUUUGGUUACUACAACCAGCCGAAGUUCUGCCAGACAUCGUAUAAAUAAACAAUUUUAGAAGAUAAUAAAUGAAUAGAAAUACAAAA